AGAUAAAUUCAUUUAGUUUAAAAACAUAUUGACAUCUAGUAAAACGCAAAAUAUAGUGUUAAGAAAAUAUUUAAAUAUCAAAAGGUUAAAUCUGAACCCCGUAAAAUCAAAAUUAAUUUAAUUUCGAAUAGAUCUGUUUCCUACACCAGCUGCCCGGCACACUACAUUCAUCUUAGUAUCCACUUAAGAACAUACAAUUUCUCUUCAAAGUUCCCAAUUAAAUUCCAUCCAAGCAUCCGUAGAUUAUAAACAGAUAUGCCGCCUCGUCAGGACCUGAUCAUCCAACCGAGCCGGUUCCAGGUGGAGCAGACCCGCACACCCCCUCCCCCUCCCCCCGGUCGUCUUCAGAGGCCCCCCCACGACCACCCCUCCACUUACAUCGCCUCGCAAACAAGACGGAAUACUGCCGCUGCCACACGAACCAACUAGAGGUUUUAACAUCGAAUUUGCUGUUAUAACCUGUCUGUACUAAACAUGAAAUUAAAAUGAUGAGAAAACAGCAAGAAUAGUGAAGGCAUUGUUAUGGAAAUCUAAAUUUUAUGAGUGCUUCAACUAUAGAUAGGAAUGAAUUAUUGAUACAAUUAGGUUAGUUUUAACGGCCGUAAAAUUAAUGGAAAUACAGGCUGCAGUCGUACGAAAUACAUAUGUAUGUAUAUUGUAUAUAGAAACAUGUCUGUCUUUAGGUUUCUGGCUUUUUUAAUCAUAUUUGCGAAUUCCGACUGUAUUAUGUAAAUUAUGUGGUAAUAGCUAUUUGUACAUAAGCCAUUUUAAGUAAGUGUAGAAUAUGUGUAGACUAUUAUUGAUAUAAACAUAUAAUAAAUAGUUUUAUCAAAAAUAAU